rnacentral:rRNA from 1 species
UACAGAGGGGGCAAGCGUUAUUCGGAAUUAUUGGGCGUAAAGGGCGCGUAGGCGGCUUUUCAAGUGACGGGUGAAAUCCCUCGGCUUAACCGAGGAACUGCCUGUCAGACUGGAAGGCUUGAGACCGGGAGAGGUGAGUGGAAUUCCCAGUGUAGCGGUGAAAUGCGUAGAUAUUGGGAGGAACACCAGUGGCGAAGGCGGCUCACUGGACCGGAACUGACGCUGAGGCGCGAAAGCGAGGGGAGCAAACAGG